GAUGAACGCUGGCGGCGUGCCUAAUACAUGCAAGUCGAGCGAACAGACGAGGAGCUUGCUCCUCUGACGUUAGCCGCGGACGGGUGAGUAACACGUGGAUAACCUACCUAUAAUACGGGUAUCACUUCGGGAAACCGGAGCUAAUACCGGAUAAUAUCUUGAACCGCAUGGUUCAAUAGUGAAAUACGGUUUUGCUGUAACUUCUCGCUGGAUCCCCGCCGCAUUAGCUAGUUGUUAAGUUAACGGCUUACCAAGGCAAGGAGGCGUAGCCGACCGGAGAGAGUGAUAGCCCACCCGGGAAGUGGAACGGGGACCUUAGUACUGCGGGAGGCACCAGAAGGGAAUGUUCCGCAGUGGGCGAAAGCCUGACGGAGCAGCGCGGCGUGAGAGAUGACGGUCUUCGGAUCGUGAUACUCCGUUAUUAGGGAAGAACAGAUGUGGAAGGAACUAUGCACGGCGUGACGGUAACUAAUCAGAAAGCAACGGCUAACUACGUG
rnacentral:rRNA from 1 species